rnacentral:rRNA from 1 species
AUUGAACGCUGGCGGCAGGCCUAACACAUGCAAGUCGAACGAGCGGCGGAUGGGUGAGUAAUGUCUGGGAAACCGCCCGAUGGAUGGGGAUAACUACUGGAAACGGUUUCUAAUACCGCAUACCAUCAUUUGUCCCCAUAUGGUAUUGGCUAGUUGGGGGGGUAAUGGCUCACCAAGGCGACGCCCCCUAGCUGGUCUGAGUGGAAGACCAGCCACACUGGAACUGAGACACGGACCAGACUCCUGCGGGAGGCAGCAGUGGGGAAUAUUGCACAAUGGGCGCAAGCCGGAUGCAGCCAUGCGGCGUGUAUGAAGAAGGCCUUAGGGUUGUAAAGUACUUUAAGCGGGGAGGCGUUACCCGAAGAAGAAGCACCGGCUAACUCCGUGCCAGCAGCCGCGGUAAUAC